GUGAUAUCUGCACCUAAGCAGGCUGGAGAGGAGAGGGGCUUAAGCAGCUCUUUCUGCCUUGGGCAGAGGUGUGACCCUGUCUUCUAAUCUCCUGUCAUGCUGUCCAUACUACUCUGCAUUCUUAUUUUGGAUCUUUUCCCUUUCUCUAUUUUCUUUUUUGUUGGGAUGAGUGCGCCAGUUGUAAACUUCAUUUAUUUGGAAAAUUCACUUACAUGGAAUAGUUCAUUCUUUCAUAAGCCAAAUGAGUGGAGCAUUACUGGUUAUAUAUUGUAUACAUAUAUUGUUUAUGAGGACUUAUGUUUCACAUGACUGCUUCUUUCAGAUUUGAUUUUAUCGCUGAGAAGUCAAUUUCAACUAUUUCUAGACAGACAUAGAUUACGGUAAAGAAUGAGGAAUCUGUAUUGUAGCUGUGAGACACUGCAUUUGACAGAGUGUAUGAAAUGUUGGCUUAAACAUCAUUAAACAGGUUUCUUUGGGAAUUUUCUGACCACAAGUGUCCCAGAGUUGAAGAAUUUGGAGGACUUCAUUGAAUUUUAGAAAAGGCAAGGUAAUAUUUGGUUUAUGUUAUAAAAAUAUGAGAAUCUAAUCCAGUUGAUCUGCAAAUGUAAGAACUACUUCUCCUAGAAGAUGGUCAGGAUUUCUUUUUCUGGCAAGCUGAAGAUCUUGUCUGGAUGGAUUUCCUUCUGUUGCUUCAGCAUUUCUGGCUGGAACACAGAAGUGCAGUAAGCUACAAAACUGUAAGCAAAAAUAAUUAGAGGAAGUACAGAUGAGGAAGCAGAAGUAAAUACUCUUUAAGCCAGCAGGAUGUAUUUAUUCCUGAGUAGUUGCACUGUACUUUCCAGGCUAUCAUAAAAUGUAGCGUAGAGUAAGGGGGGAAGGGGAAGAUGAUCUAUUAAGUUCUACUUUUAUCCUUGGCCUGAUGCUUUCCCUCUGUUAUCACGUUUAUUCCUCGCAAGAACCCUAGGAGGUAGGUAUUAUUAUGACUUCUAUUGUUUAGAUAAGGAAAUGAGGUGCAAACCUUUAACAAAUAGCUCAAGGCCACACAGUUAAGCUAUAGAGGCAGAUCUGGGACCAAACCCCAUAGCUCUCUUGCACUAUGGAGUAUGCCAGCAGGGAGGGCUGAAAUAGUGGCUGCUCAAAAAAAAAAAUUUUUUUUUUUAACAGCAUGGGGGCAAAAUCCUGCCCCACAUCCCCUAAAACUCUGCUGAAUGGGACAGCUCCCACAGUUAUAUUAUGGGUCUAUUCUUUCCCAAGUAUGUUCUGAGGAACACUGCUAGCCUCUUGAGAUGCUCAUAGAGAAAAAGUUCUGUGGUCAACCUUAUAUUCUGUGUCCCCAAGCACAUUACUGGCUGUGGAAAAUUCCAGAAUAAAGAAACUUUAAAAACUUUUCCCAAACUGAGUUUUCUUACAUUGUUGUUGUUGUUAACUACUGUGGAGUCAGUCUUUCAUUCAUGGUAACCCCAUGCACAAUAGAACAAAAUGCUGCCAGUCCUGUACCAUUCCCGUGAUUGGUUAGGGACCUGAUUGUUGUGAUCCAUAGGGUUUUCUUUGACUGAUUUUCAGAAGCAGGUCAACAGACCUUUCUUCCUAGUCCAUCUUAAUCUGUAAGCUUCACUAGCAACCUUUUCAAUAUCACAGCAACACAUCAGCUUCCACUUACAGAUGGGUAGUGGCUGCACUUGAGGUACAUUGGCCUGAAAUCGAACCUGGAUCUCCCUCAUGGAAGGCAAGAAUUCUACCAUUGAAUCACCAGUGUUCCCUAAUUUUCUUAUAAAACUAGUUAGCCCAUUAAACUGGUCUUCUGUGGAACAUACCUUAGGUAAUUCUAUUUAAGGUGAGUUUGUCACAGCGUGAAUGUGACCUUCUUGGGGGUUGUCACUUUUUACCUUCUGUGUCUCCAGUGCCUGGCACACAACAAGGUCUCAAUAUUUCUUAAGUAAAUGAUGUAAUGAAUAAGUGAAUCAAUGAUAUCUCUCAUAGUAGCCACACCAGACGGAUAAACUUGAGAUGAAGGAGCAUCACAGACAGCAUAAGAGGGAAGAGCUUUCAUCUCUUGUACCAUGUCUAAAAACAUUUAAGUCAUCUCUCCCUAUUUUUUCUGAGAUAUAUGCGAUACUUGCUUGAUCCUCAUAUUGUGCAGGAGGAUGACGGAUGGAAAAAGAAAGUAACAUCUAUUAAAUGUCUGCUAAAUAAUAGACGAUGGCCUUUUCUCUGUUAUUUCACUAAUUCUUCAUAGUAACCUUAUAAAGUAGGUGUUAUUGUCCCCUUCUUUAGAGAGGAUAUACUCAGAGAUGUUUAGAACUUACCAGAGAUACAUAUCUGAUAGGUGCAUCAGAAUUUGAAUCCAGGCCCAUCUGACUGUGAAACCCAUACAUGCCCUUUACUUGACAUCAUACUGCUUCCGAGGUGCGAAACUAGAUUUGAAUGGGUUAUAUUACUACAGCACUAUUUUGCUUGAGGCUUUGAGGUGCUUUAAAUAUCCUGUGGAUAGUAAUUCAUAAUAGUUGUUAAAACAAACAGAAGCCCAGAGACUUGACUCAAUUACUUUCAUCUUGGUUAUGGGGUCCUCAACAAAACAAAACGAAACAAAACAAAACAAAACACCAAUAACCCAAACAAACAAACAAACACACACACAACCAAAUAAGUCAGUUUCUGCCACUCUUAGGCCUGGGGUUGCAAGUUAUGGUGUUCUCUAUGCAUAUGUGUAUGUUGUGUUAUCAGGUUGCAUUUUUACGUAUCACCUCCUUGUUCAUUUUGUAGCUGAAACCCAUUGUUUGUACCAAUCCUUCAAAGGCAAGAAAACUUACUGAUUUGUUUUAGAAGAGCUGGUCAGAACUGGCAGUCUGAUUAAAGGUCUAAACCCAUUUAGAGAAAUCAUAUUAUGUUUAGAGCACAUUUCUGUCUCUAAACAUAAGCAACAUCUGAAGGUACCUAUGGGGGUAAUUACCCAGUGAAAAUAUAGGCCAGAAAAACCAAGAAAUGGGUAGACCAUCUUUCUUCCAAAACCCACAGAAAUGAAUCAUUAGCAGAAAGUAAACCAGUUAUGUUCAGUGUAUCUUAAAUUUUACGGUUUUCAUGAAUCAAUUAGGAGGCCAAUCAAACUAGAUAGACAUUUUAAAAAGCAUAACCAAAAAAUAUUUGUGAGAUAAAUAUGCAUUAAGGAAUUGGAGAAGUGAGACAAAAUAAUAAACUUACCAAGCAGUUUCAUUUCUUCAGAUAAUUUCUGUAGGUAUGUGGCUGCUAAAGGCUGGUAGUUUGAACCCACCCAGCAGUGCCACAGACGAAAGGCUUGGUGAUCUGCUUCUACAAAGAUUACAGCCAAAGAAAUCCUAUGGAGCAGUUCUACUCAGUAACACUUGGGAUCACCAUGGGUCUGAAAUGACUCCACAGCAACAGUAUGGAAGCUCUGCUGAAGCCUGUUCACCAUCAUAGGAACAUGCAAGUCUCCACUGCCUGACAGGUGAAAUAACAUUGAACACACUAUCAAUGAUAACCAGAUUGAAGAGGAGACAAGAUCCCAUGAAGAAGAAUGAGAAGAAAAACACAACAGAAACGAAUUCAUUGGGACUUAUAUCAGGCUUAUCAUUGACCUUGAAACAACCAUGACUUUAAAACAACUCUGACAAUUAAAACAAUUAUAAUAAAUCCAUAAAUUAUUGAACAAUAUCAUUUUAAUAUCACACACGCAAGUAAAAUUUUGCUGAAGAUCAUGCAAAAACAGUACACCCAUAGGGAACAGCCAGAAAUUCAAGCCGAUUCAGAAGAGAAUGGGGAAUGAGGGAUAUCAUUGCUGAUGUCAGAUGGAUCUUGGCUGAAAGCAGACAAUACCAGAAAGAUGUUUACUUGUGUUUUAUUGACAUGUGAAACAUUCAACGGUGUGGAUCAUGACAAAUUAUGGAUGACAUUGUGAAGAAUGGGAAUUCCAGAACACUUAGUUGUUCUCAUGAGGAACAUGUACAUAGACGAAGAGGCAGUCGUUCAAAAAGAACAAAGGGAUACCGUGUGGUUUAAAGUCAGGAAAGGUGUGUGUCAGGAUUGUAUUCUUUCACCAAACUUAUUCGCUCUGUAUGCUAAGAAAAUAAUCUGAGAAGCUGGACUAUAUGAAGAAGAAUGGGGCAUCAAGUUUGAAGGAAGACUCAUUAACAGCUUGCUGUAUGCAGGUUACACAACCUUGCUUGCUGAAAGUGAAGAGGACUUGAAGUACUUACUGAUGAAGAUCAAAGACUACAGCCUUCAGUAUGGAUUACACCUGAGCAUAAAGAAAACAAAAAUCCUCACAGCUGGCCCAAUAAGCAACAUCAUGAUAAAUAGAGAAAAGAUUGAAAUUGUCAAGGAUUUCAUUUUACCUGGAUCCACAAUCAACGUCCAUGGAAGCAGCAGUCAAGAAAUUAAAUGACUCAUUGGGCAAAUCUGCUGCAAAAGACCUCUUUAAAGUGCUAAAAAACAAAGAUGUCACUUUGAGGCCUAAGGUGCACCUGACCCAAGCCAUGGUAUUUUCAAUAGCCUUUUUUUUUUUUUUUCAUAUGCAUGCAAAAGCUGGACAAUGAGUAAGGAAGGCUCAAGAAGAAUUGAUGCCUUUGAAUUAUGGUGUUGGCCAAGAAUAUCGAAGAUACCAUGGAUUGCCAGAAGAACGAACAAAUCUGUCUUGGAAGUAUAGCCAGUGCGGUCCUUAGAAGGAAGGAUGGCAAGCACUAUUGAGUGAAAGAUAGUUCAGAAUGUUAGGAUGAAAGAUGACAAUAAAAGUCCUUAGCAAUAUAUACUGGUCUUCAAGAGGUUGAAUCUGGAUUACUGAGGGGGCAAUUUGUGACAUGAAUGUGUUCGCCAAAACCAGUGAUGGAUAUCCACCUGGAGUGGCAGCGUGGAGCAAGUGUGAAUAUCUACACAGAAAGUGAUCUUAUAUGUGCUAGCUUCCUUCUACGACUUCUCGAUUGUUCUAUUCUCACUCAGGGACACUGAAAUAAUUCAGUAGACUCUUUAGAUCCUAAAAAAUGCUUAGUAUAUUCUAGAGGGAAUAUAAUUGUAUGACAAGUUGAGAUGGUCUUAUAUUAAUAUUUUCUUGCUGUUAUACAUUUGAAAGAAGUUUAAUUCAAACUAAUUGUUUGAAUUAAUUAACCUCCUUAAUUAACCUGAACUGAAUAAUUGUGGGAAUUUUUUGUCCUAUGUCUAUGUCUAAAAUCUCUCUACCAUAUAUCAACUUCAUACUGGAUAUAUAGCUACCUGUUUUAGUUUUACAAAUUUAAGGUCUUAAUGAAUUAACAAUUAAAAGUUUAGUUUGUGUUUGCUUAGUCCUAUUAAGUUUCUCGAAUGCUGAUUCUUUCAUCUUAGAUUAGAUGUCUACUGGUCAGAUCUGUCAGUAUUUCACUGAGAAAAUGAGCCUGGUACGGUUUGUGUACGAUCAGAGCGUUCAUGCACGCCCUGAUUUUUUAUGGUCCUUUUAGUGUGACUUCACUACCUGGCCCAUGGGGACCUUCCUACCCAAGGGAUAAUUAGACAGUUGAAAAAAUUACAGGAUUUGGUUUCCUUCUUUCUCACUCUGUCUUGUGGUAUUAUAGGCAUCACUUACUUAUUUGCUUUGCUUAUGUUGCUUAUGUUGUUAGCUGCUGUCAAAACUGGCUUUUGAUGCAUGGUGAUCCCCUGCACAAGGGAACAAAAUGCUGCCCCGCCCUGUGUUGUUCCCAUAAUUGGUUGUGGAUCAGACCAUAACGAUUCAUAGGUUUUUCACUGGCAGAUUUUUGGAAGCAGAUUGCCAGGCCUUUCUUCCUACUGAAUGAAGAAAGUCCUGCAUCAUCCCCAUGAUUGAUGUGGGAUUGAAUCGUUGUGGUCCAUGGGGUUUUUCACCAGCUGAUUUUUAGAAGUAGAUCACCAGGCAUUUCUUCCUAGUCCGUCUUAAUCUGGAAGCUCCACUGACAACCUGUUUGGCAUCAUAACAACAAGCAAGCCUCCAUUUACAGAUGGGUGGUGGCUGAGCAUGAGGUGCCUUGGCCGGGAGUUGAACCUGGGUCUCUUACCUGGAAGGCAAGAAUUCUACCACUGAAUCACCAAUGCCUCAAACUUUGCUUAUACACACCUUGAUUUUCCUUAAAAUAUCGCUAAUCAUCCCUCUUCCAGACUACGUAAAUUCUUAAUUGGACUUUGGGAGUAUCCUAUUUGAUAACUAUGAGAUUGGAGACUCAAUUCGUUUCUAUAGUACCUUGUCCUCUUAAUGGGCCUGUUGCUGUCCUUUUCUUGGAUCCAGCUGGUUCACCACUUUGAUUUUUUUCCACCUCAGGACCAGUACCCAAAAAAACCCACUGCCGUCGAGUCGUUUCUGACUCGACCAGUAGAGGGCGAUAUUUUCUAUCUUUUAGCCCCAUUAUUUCUAGCCAACAGUACCAAUUUGCUGGUUUAAAAUUGGAAAAGGUGUUCGGCAAGGUUAUAUCCUUCCAUUCUUCUUCUUUUUUUAAAUUUUAUUGUUCUUUAGGUGGGAAUUUACAGCUCAACUCAGUUUCUCAUUCAAAAAUUUAUAUAUGUAGUGACAUCGGUUGCAAUCCUUGCAUGUGCCAGCACUCUUCCCCUUUCCGCCUCAGUUUCCCCGUGUCCAUUCAUCCAGUUUUCCUGUCUUUUCCUGCCUUCUCAUCUUUGCUUUUGGGCAGGAGUUGCUCAUUCGAUCUAGUAUUUUUGAUUGAACUAAGAAGCACAUUCCUCACAUAGGUUAUUGUUUGUUUUCUAGGUCUGCCUAAUCUUUGCACCGGGUGUGGGUUCUGGGUAAUCUUCGUCUGAGAAGUGGGCUUCCGGAGCGGCUUCGGUUCUGAGCUGGCAAGAUGUCCAAGGGCCAUAGUCUUGCAGGUUCCUGUAGUCUCUGUCAGACCAGUAAGUUUGGUCUUUUUUUGUGAAUUUGGUUUUGUUCUACAUUUUUCUCUCGCUCUGCCCGGGACUGUCUAUUGUGAUCCCUGUCAGAGCUGGCGGUGGUGCUAGCUGGGCAUCAUCUAAUUCUCCUGGGCUCAGGCUGGUGGAGGCUGUGGUUCAUGUGGUCCUUUAGUCCUUUGGGCUAAUAUUUUCCUUGUAUCUUUUGUUUUCUUCAUUAUCCUUUGCUCCAGAUGGGAUGAGACCAAUAGAUGUAUCUCAAAUGGCCGCUUGCAAGCUCUUAACACCCCAUAUGCUACUCACCAAAACAGGAUGUAGAACAUUUUCCUUAUGAACUAUGUUAUGCCAAUUGACCUAGGUGUUCUCCAAGGCUAUGGUCCCCAGCCCUCAGCCCCAGCAACUCUGUUCCUCAAGAUAUUUAUAUGUCUAGGAAACUUCUAUGAUUUUGCCUUGGUCAAGUUGUACUGACUUCCCUUAUAUUGUGUGCUAUCUUUCCCAUCACUAAAGUUGACACUUACCUGUCUAGUUAGUGAUUUGCCCUCCUCAUCCCUCCCCACCCUCAUAAUCAUUAAAAAUUGUUUUUUUUCUUGUCUAAACCUUUUCUUGGGUUUUUAUAAUAGUGAUCUUACACACUUUUUGACCUUUCGUGAUUGACUUAUUUCACUCAGUAUAAUGCCCUCCAGAUUCAUUAAUGUUGUUUGCUGUUUUCUGGCUUCAUCACUGUUCUUUGUAGUUGUGUGGUAUUCCAUUGUGUGUAUGUACUGUACUGUAAUUUGUUUAUCCAUUCAUCUGUUGACGGGCACUUAGAUUGUUUCCAUCUUUUUGCUGUUGUGAAUAAUGCUACAAUGAAUGUGGGUAUGCGUAUGUCUGUUUGUGUGAUGGCUCUUAUUUCUCUAAGAUGUAUUCCAAGGAGUGAGGUUGCUGGAUGGUAUGGAAUUUCUAUUUCUAGAUUUUUAAGGAGGUGCCAUAUCAUUUUCUAUAAUGGUUGUACCAUUUUACUUUCCCACUAGCAAUGUAUAAGAGUUCCAAUCUACCCAGGACCUCUCUGACAUUUAUUAUUUUCUGUUUUUUUGAUUAGUGCCGGUAUUGUCAUGGUGAGAUUGUAUCUCAUUGUAGUUUUGAUUUGCAUUUCUCUAAUGGCUAAUGGGAGCCCUAGUGGCGCAGUGGUUAAGAGCUUGGCUGCUAACCAAAAUGUUGGCAGUUUGAAUCCACCAGCUGUCCCUUGGAAACCCUAUGGAGCAGGUCUGCUCUGUCUUAUAGGGUCGCUAUGAGUCCGAAUUGACUUCACAGCAACAGGCUUGGUUUUUGGUUUAAUGGCUAAUGAUCAUGAGUGUUUCUUCAUGUGUCUGCUGGCCACCUGAAUGUCUUCUUUGGUGAAGUGUCUGUUCAUAUCCUUUGCCCAUUUAGGUUAUACCCUUUCAUCUUACUUUUUCAAUUUGUACACUGUACAUAUAAUCCAAGAACUUGGAUUAUAUGAAGAAAAAUAUGGCAUGAGGAUUGGAGGAAGACUCAUUAACCUGUGAUAUGCAGAUGACACAACCUUGCUUGCCAAAAGUGAAGAGGUCUUGAAGUGCAUACUGAUGAAGGGCAAAGACCACAGCCUUCAGUAUGGAUUACACCUGAACCUAAAGAAAAUGAAAAUCCUCACAACUGGACCAGUAAACAACAUCAUGAUAAAUAGGGAAGAAAUUGAAGUUGUCAAAGAUUUCAUUGAAUCAACCAUCAAUGCCCAUGGAAACAGCAGUCAAGAAAUCAAAUGAUAGAUUGCAUUGGGCAAAUCUGCUGCAAAAGACUUCUUAAAAAUGUGAAAAAGCAACGAUGUCACUUUGAUGUCUAAGGCACAUCUGACCCAAGCCAUGGUCUUUUCAAUUGCGUCAUAUACAUGGAAAAGCUGAACAAUGAAAAAGGAAGAUCAAAGGAGAACUGAUGCACUUGAAUUUUGGUUUUGACACAGAAUAUUGAAUAUUCCAUGAACAGCUGGAAGAACGAAUAAAUCUGUCUUGAAGGAAGUACAAAAUGCUAAUUAAAAGAGAGGAUGAUGAGACUUUGUCUCACUUAUUUUUGACCCAUCAUCAGGAAAGACCAAUUGCUAGAAAAGGACAUCAUCUUUGGUAAAGCGGAGGGUCAGUAAAAACAAGGGAAACCCUACAUGAGAUGGAUUGACAUACUGCCUACAACAAUGGGCUCAAACAUACAAAAGAUUGUGAGGAUGGUGCAAGACCUGGCAAUGUUUUGUUCUGCUAUACAUAAGGUGGCCAUGAGUCAGAGGCAACUCGAUGGUAACUAACAAUAAAAACAACAUGCCAAUUUGCAUACCAGCAUGCCAAUAUUUUAAAAUAAUAACCAAUACACUUUUGUUUCAAGGUAUUACUUUUAACCUUGUGGCUCUUCCUCCCUUCUGUCCAGACUUGCACCAUCCAGUAUGUUAGCCCCUAGCCAUAUGUGGCUAUUAAACACUUGAAAUAUGGCCAGUUCAAAUUGAGAUGUCAAUGUAGAUACACAUAAGAUCAAAUAUUUAAUAACAAAAAAUGCAAAAUCUUCAAUAAUUUUUAUACUGAUAUAUGUCA